rnacentral:rRNA from 1 species
AGAGUUUGAUCAUGGCUCAGGACGAACGCUGGCGGCGCGUUUUAAGCAUGCAAGUCGAGCGGCAAGGGGCUUCGGCCCCCUAGAGCGGCGGACGGGUGAGUAACACGUGGAUAAUCUGCCUUUCAGUUGGGAAUAGCUAGUGGAAACACUAGAUAAUGCCGAAUACGAUUGGCUUGCCGAAAGGCCUGCCAAGGAAAGCAGCCAAGGCUGCGCUGGAAGAUGAGUCCGCGUCCCAUUAGCUAGACGGCGGGGUAAAGGCCCACCGUGGCGAUGAUGGGUAGCCGGCCUGAGAGGGUGAACGGCCACAUUGGGACUGAGAUACGGCCCAGACUCCUACGGGAGGCAGCAGCUAAGAAUCUUCCGCAAUGGACGAAAGUCUGACGGAGCGACGCCGCGUGAACGAUGAAGGCCGUGAGGUUGUAAAGUUCUUUUCAAGAAGAAGAAUAAUCCCUGCAGGGAAUGGCAGGGGGAUGACGUGAAUCUUGGAAUAAGCCCCGGCUAACUACGUGCCAGCAGCCGCGGUAACACGUAGGGGGCGAGCGUUGUUCGGAAUUAUUGGGCGUAAAGGGCGCGCAGGCGGCCUUGCAAGUCUGGUGUCAAAUGGUCGGGCUCAACCCGAUCCUGCGCUGGAAACUGCGAGGCUUGAGUUCAGUAGGGGAUGCUGGAAUUCCAGGUGUAGGGGUGAAAUCUGUAGAUAUCUGGAAGAACACCAAUGGCGAAGGCAAGCAUCUGGGCAUGAACUGACGCUGAGGCGCGAAGGUGCGGGGAGCAAACAGGUUUAGAUAUCCUGGUAGUCCGCACAGUAAACGAUGUGCACCAGGUGGCGGCCAGCAGUGGUCGGUACCGUAGCAAACGCAUUAAGUGCACCGCCUGGGGAGUAUGCUCGCAAGGGUGAAACUCAAAUGAAUUGACGG